AGUCUUAUAUUCAACAAUGAUAUAAAAUUGCAAAUUUUAAGGAGUAAAAUAUUUACUAAGGCUU